UAACCUGCGGAGGGAUCAUUACCGAGUUUACAACUCCCAAACCCCUGUGAACAUACCUUAAUGUUGCCUCGGCGGAUCAGCCCGCGCCCCGUAAAACGGGACGGCCCGCCAGAGGACCCAAACUCUAAUGUUUCUUAUUGUAACUUCUGAGUAAAACAAACAAAUAAAUCAAAACUUUCAACAACGGAUCUCUUGGUUCUGGCAUCGAUGAAGAACGCAGCAAAAUGCGAUAAGUAAUGUGAAUUGCAGAAUUCAGUGAAUCAUCGAAUCUUUGAACGCACAUUGCGCCCGCUGGUAUUCCGGCGGGCAUGCCUGUUCGAGCGUCAUUUCAACCCUCAAGCCCCCGGGUUUGGUGUUGGGGAUCGGCUCUGCCUUCUGGCGGUGCCGCCCCCGAAAUACAUUGGCGGUCUCGCUGCAGCCUCCAUUGCGUAGUAGCUAACACCUCGCAACUGGAACGCGGCGCGGCCAUGCCGUAAAACCCCAACUUCUGAAUGUUGACCUCGGAUCAGGUAGGAAUACCCGCUGAACUUAAGCAUAUCAUA
rnacentral:rRNA from 1 species